AAAAUCCGCUGUAACAAUUCUGAGGCGUGAUGGGGAAGGCCAUAUAGGCCGAAGUACAUGAUUCCAUGCUUCCAAGAAAAGCAUCUAGAGAGAGAAGUAGUGCCCGUACCGCAAACCGACACAGGUAGAUGAGGAGAGAAUCCUAAGGCCGGCGGAAGAAUUGCAGUUAAGGAACUAGGCAAAUUGACCCCGUAAGUUCGCGAGAAGGGGUGCCUGCGAGAGUAGGCCGCAGAGAAUAGGCCCAAGCAACUGUUUAGCAAAAACACAGGUCUCUGCUAAAGCGUAAGCUGAUGUAUAGGGGCUGACGCCUGCCCGGUGCUGGAAGGUUAAGGGGAACACUUAGCGCAAGCGAAGGUGUGAACUUAAGCCCCAGUAAACGGCGGCCGUAACUAUAACGGUCCUAAGGUAGCGAAAUCCCUUGUCAGGUAAGUUCUGACCCGCACGAAUGGCGUAAUGACUUGGGCACUGUCUCAACUGCAAAUCCGGCGAAGUUGUAGUGCGAGUGAAGAUGCUCGCUACCCGCGAUUGGACGGAAAGACCCCGUAGAGCUUUACUGUAGCUUAGCAUUGAAUUCCGGUAUUGUCUGUACAGGAUAGGUGGGAGACUGGGAAACUAGGGCGUCAGCCUUAGUGGAGUCAACCUUGGGAUACCACCCUGACAGUACUGGGGUUCUAACAGGACGCCAUGAAUCUGGUGACUGGACAUUGUUAGGUGGGCAGUUUGACUGGGGCGGUCGCCUCCUAAAAAGUAACGGAGGCGCCCAAAGGUUCCCUCAGAACGGUCGGAAAUCGUUCGUAGAGUGCAAAGGCAGAAGGGAGCCUGACUGCGAGACAUACAAGUCGAGCAGGGACGAAAGUCGGGCUUAGUGAUCCGGUGGUACCUCGUGGGAGGGCCAUCGCUCAACGGAUAAAAGCUACCUCGGGGAUAACAGGCUGAUCUCCCCCAAGAGUCCACAUCGACGGGGAGGUUUGGCACCUCGAUGUCGGCUCGUCGCAUCCUGGGGCUGUAGUAGGUCCCAAGGGUUGGGCUGUUCGCCCAUUAAAGCGGCACGCGAGCUGGGUUCAGAACGUCGUGAGACAGUUCGGUCCCUAUCCGUCGCGGGCGUAGGAAAUUUGAGAGGAGCUGUCCUUAGUACGAGAGGACCGGGAUGGACUGACCUCUGGUGCACCAGUUGUUCCGCCAGGAGCAUGGCUGGUAGCUAAGUCGGGAAGGGAUAAACGCUGAAAGCAUCUAAGCGUGAAGCCUCCCUCAAGAUGAGAUUUCCCAUAGCAUAAGCUAGUAAGACCCCUUGAAGAACACAAGGUUGAUAGGUCAGAGGUGUAAGUGCGGUAACGUAUUUAGCUGACUGAUACUAAUAGGUCGAGGGCUUGACCAU
rnacentral:rRNA from 1 species